rnacentral:rRNA from 1 species
AGAGCGAACGCUGGCGGCAGGCCUAAAACAUGCAAGUCGAACGGACCCUUCGGGGUUAGUGGCGGACGGGUGAGUAACACGUGGGAACGUGCCUUUUGGUUCGGAAUAAUCCGGGGAAACCUGGCCUAAUACCGGAUGUGCCCUUCGGGGGAAAGAUUUAUCGCCAUUAGAGCGGCCCGCGUCUGAUUAGCUUGUUGGUGGGGUAAUGGCCCACCAAGGCUACGAUCAGUAGCUGGUCUGAGAGGAUGAUCAGCCACACUGGGACUGAGACACGGCCCAGACUCCUACGGGAGGCAGCAGUGGGGAAUAUUGCGCAAUGGACGAAAGUCUGACGCAGCGACGCCGCGUGUGGGAUGAAGCCUUUCGGGGUGUAAACCACUGUUGCCCGGGACGAAACUCCUCUUUCGAGAGGAUUGACGGUACCGGGUGAGGAAGCACCGGCUAACUCUGUGCCAGCAGCCGC